GGCUUAGAGUUUGAUCCUGGCUCAGGACGAACGCUGGCGGCGUGCCUAAUACAUGCAAGUCGAACGGUCUUUUCUAUGGAAGCUUGCUUCCACUGAGAAGAUAGUGGCGAACGGGUGAGUAACACGUGGGUAACCUGCCCAUAAGAGGGGGAUAACAUCCGGAAAACGGGUGCUAAUACCGCAUAGUUUUCUUKGGUCGCAUGAUCCAGAAAGGAAAAGACGGCCUUUGUGCUGUCGCUUAUGGAUGGACCCGCGGCGUAUUAGUUAGUUGGUGGGGUAAUGGCUCACCAAGACCAAGAAACGUAACCGAACUGAGAGGGGGGUCGGCCACAUUGGGACUGAGACACGGCCCAAACUCCU
rnacentral:rRNA from 1 species